UACGUAGGUGGCGAGCGUUGUCCGGAUUUACUGGGCGUAAAGAGCGCGCAGGCGGUCGUUCAAGUCGCGUGUGAAAGCCCCCGGCUCAACUGGGGAGGGUCACGCGAUACUGAUCGACUCGAAGGCAGGAGAGGGAAGUGGAAUUCCCGGUGUAGUGGUGAAAUGCGUAGAUAUCGAGAGGAACACCUGCGGCGAAGGCGGGUUGCUGGGCUGACACUGACGCUGAUGCGCGAAAGCCAGGGGAGCGAACGGG
rnacentral:rRNA from 1 species